AUGGGUUGGGUGCAGGAUUGAGAACAAGGCUUUGACUUUCUAAGCCUUGUUCUGAUGGUUUCUUUCUGAAGUGCAGGUUUUUCCUGCUUGCAUCUCCAUCUCCAAUAAAAGCUGAAUGUGUUAUCUGUGCUCAGGAGGCAAGUCUGCAAAAACAGUUGUGCUGGACUUCGGAGCAAAGAAGUGGGGACCAGGAGGAGAAAAAAAAUGGAGUGCAACCCUCCAUCGCCUUCAAGGAAAUGGUCACUGCUGCCUGCAAAAUUCCCCUUCCCAGCCCCAGUGUCCUGCUGGUUCUAUUGUGGGAAGUGACAUGAGGAUGAAGGGGGACCUCAAGCCCAUGGGGCCAUAUUUUUCAACCCUGGAAUGGUAGGGACUCCACCAAGUCCCAGAGACCUUCCUCCUU
rnacentral:lncRNA from 1 species